rnacentral:lncRNA from 1 species
GAUUUUAUGGUUGUAAUCUGAGGCAACUGGAAGAGCAAGGGGUCCUUCCUUGCCUGAUAUUUAGUGGUCUACUUUAAGCAUAACAAAUGCAAUUGGCAGGGAUGUUUUGUUUUGCUAUGAUUUAAAACUUCCUGAGCCUAAGAAUCAAGGUAAGACCGUUGGAGCUUAGCUUUUACCUAUAUUAGUUGUGAACUUUGCCUUCAGCUUCGUCAUUUUUCACCUUUCAUUUCAUCCUAAACCAUCUGCAAUUUUCCCCUUAUUGAACAAAUGGAGAGGUGGAGAGCUUCAAG